rnacentral:rRNA from 1 species
GACGAACGCUGGCGGCGUGCCUAAUACAUGCAAGUCGAACGCUUCUUUCCUCCCGAGUGCUUGCACUCAAUUGGAAAGAGGAGUGGCGGACGGGUGAGUAACACGUGGGUAACCUACCCAUCAGAGGGGGAUAACACUUGGAAACAGGUGCUAAUACCGCAUAACAGUUUAUGCCGCAUGGCAUAAGAGUGAAAGGCGCUUUCGGGUGUCGCUGAUGGAUGGACCCGCGGUGCAUUAGCUAGUUGGUGAGGUAACGGCUCACCAAGGCCACGAUGCAUAGCCGACCUGAGAGGGGGAUCGGCCACACUGGGACUGAGACACGGCCCAGACUCCUACGGGAGGCAGCAGUAGGGAAUCUUCGGCAAUGGACGAAAGUCUGACCGAGCAACGCCGCGUGAGUGAAGAAGGUGUUCGGAUCGUAAAACUCUGUUGUUAGAGAAGAACAAGGACGUUAGUAACUGAACGUCCCCUGACGGUAUCUAACCAGAAAGACACGGCUAACUACGUG